UCUGCCCGCUGGCGGCGUGCUUAACACAUGCAAGUCGAACGAUGAAGCCCAGCUUGCUGGGUGGAUUAGUGGCGAACGGGUGAGUAACACGUGAGUAACCUGCCCUUAACUCUGGGAUAAGCCUGGGAAACUGGGUCUAAUACCGGAUAGGAGCGUCCACCGCAUGGUGGGUGUUGGAAAGAUUUAUCGGUUUUGGAUGGACUCGCGGCCUAUCAGCUUGUUGGUGAGGUAAUGGCUCACCAAGGCGACGACGGGUAGCCGGCCUGAGAGGGUGACCGGCCACACUGGGACUGAGACACGGCCCAGACUCCUACGGGAGGCAGCAGUGGGGAAUAUUGCACAAUGGGCGCAAGCCUGAUGCAGCGACGCCGCGUGAGGGAUGACGGCCUUCGGGUUGUAAACCUCUUUCAGUAGGGAAGAAGCGAAAGUGACGGUACCUGCAGAAGAAGCACCGGCUAACUACGUG
rnacentral:rRNA from 1 species